UACGAAGGGGGCUAGCGUUGCUCGGAAUCACUGGGCGUAAAGGGUGCGUAGGCGGGUCUUUAAGUCAGGGGUGAAAUCCUGGAGCUCAACUCCAGAACUGCCUUUGAUACUGAAGAUCUUGAGUUCGGGAGAGGUGAGUGGAACUGCGAGUGUAGAGGUGAAAUUCGUAGAUAUCGCAAGAACACCGGUGGCGAAGGCGGCCAACUGGACCAUUCUGACGCUGAGGCGCGAAAGCGUGGGGAGCAAACAGG
rnacentral:rRNA from 1 species